UACGUAGGUGGCAAGCGUUGUCCGGAUUUACUGGGCGUAAAGAGCGCGCAGGCGGUCGUUCAAGUCGCGUGUGAAAGCCUGUGGCUCAACCACAGAAUUGCCUUCGACACUGUUUGGCUUGAGUAUGGUAGAGGUUGGUGGAACUGCGAGUGUAGAGGUGAAAUUCGUAGAUAUUCGCAAGAACACCAGUGGCGAAGGCGGCCAACUGGACCAUUACUGACGCUGAGGCGCGAAAGCGUGGGGAGCAAACAGG
rnacentral:rRNA from 1 species